rnacentral:rRNA from 1 species
UACGAAGGGGGCUAGCGUUGUUCGGAAUUACUGGGCGUAAAGGGCGCGUAGGCGGUUCGAUAAGUCAGCUGUGAAAACCAUGGGCUUAACUCAUGGCCUGCAGUUGAGACUGUCGGGCUGGAGUGUGGGAGAGGAGAGUGGAAUUCCUGGUGUAGCGGUGAAAUGCGUAGAUAUCAGGAGGAACACCGGUGGCGAAGGCGGCUCUCUGGACCACAACUGACGCUGAGGCGCGAAAGCUAGGGGAGCAAACAGG